rnacentral:rRNA from 1 species
AUGAAAGCUCCCCAGCAGCACCGUAAACCAACUGAUACAGAAGCAAAGGUCAAACAUGGUGGCGAUAAGUUGCAUUGCCUGAAGCCAGGGAAAUAUACCAACAAGUCAUCAGGCAAUAUAGGGGCAAAGUGCAGAAGAGAAGAUGGUCAAUUGUUUACCGGCAGUAAGAUUGCACUGAAGGGUGGUAGCUUUAUGGAAGUACCAUUUAGCAAUUCGACAAACUUAUCUGCUCAACCACCAAAUUAUUCUAAAAAGAUGAAGCUUCAGUUUUUCCCAAUAGAUGAGGCGAUUCAAAAGGUUCUACAGCAGGAGAAACACAAUCCUUACCUGGAGUUGACCUUGGCUCCUCGAAAGAAGAUGUCCUCAAUUGUGCAACAUUUGAACACAAAAUGGGGCCGUUCCAGCUGUGCAAAAGGCGAGCUCAUGCUCUUCCCAUAUGGUGCUAGACCGGAUAGCUUAGUUGGCAGUGAAAAAUGGACUGUUAAUGAUUCUUGCACUGCUGCUGAUGUUUAUGUUGCUGUUGGCAGCCCUUCAACAUUUCGCUUAAGGUAUGGAUGGUUUGAGCAACAAAGCAGUGAAGAGUCUUUGGCACCCGUGCACUCUGCAGAAAAGACCAUCGGUGACAAACCUUCAGAUCAUUUUGUGUUUCCAAACAAACCUUCAGAUCCUUUUGAGUUUCCAAACAAACCUUUAGAUCCUUUUGAGUUUCCAAACAAACCUUCAGAUCCUUUUGAGUUUCCAAGCAAACAUUCAGAUCCUUUUGAGUUUCCAAGUAAAUUUACCAGUCCAUCCGAUGUGUGUAACACAGAACAGACUGUGGUGGAUAACCAAAGCAAAGUGACGCCUCUCUCAUGGAUAGACUGCAUAUCCAAUAUCAGUUUCGGAGCACUCUUAUCACAGGCUGUACCCUCUCAAGACAGUAAACAACCGCCUUUGCAAAAUAGCUCGAUUCUCCAGCAGAUUCCUGCUACGUGCGAUUCAUUUGAUGCUGCUAUUGCCUCCUUGAUUGCUCAUCAGCAAACAAGUAACCAACCGAAGGUCUCAAAUCCAUCUGUUUGGGAUGCAGAAGAAACUUGUCAUGCAUUUCCCCGGAAUCAAACUUCAGCCAGGAUGUUCUCUUCAGCUCAUGGCAACAGUAGUGCUAUUACCUCGUCUAUCCUGGGUGCAAUUCCUGAGUCUGAUACAGAUGGCAACCAGCGUUGUUCUACUGAAGGCAGGAAAGAGGAAUCAACCCCUCAGAUACCAGGCUUGGGCAAUAAUGAUAACGUGAAGCCAGAUGAGCCAAUGCCUGAAUCGACCGGUGAGCCAGAGCUUGGGGCAUUUGACUCUAGGCUUUUGAGUGGGACCGACAGUUUAGGUCUAAGCGGCUUGCUAGCAAACAGCUUGGAUGCAUUUCCGAAGUUCACUGUUUCAAACAGCUGCUUGAGAAGUUCAGUGAUACAAGAUGUUGAGGAAGAGGCAUAUCGUGAUGGCCUAGAAGCACAAGUUGCAAAUGACGGCGUUUCCAGAGACAAAGAGAAGGGGUCUGAAGAUUACUAUCUUAGCUUCACUCAACUCUUGACGGGACCAGUUCCAUAUGAUCUUUUAACCGGGUCAUAG